rnacentral:misc_RNA from 1 species
GCAAACUUGGUCAUUUAGAGGAAGUAAAAGUCGUAACAAGGUUUCCGUAGGUGAACCUGCGGAAGGAUCAUUAAUGAAACGUUUGUCGAGAGGGGUUGUAGCUGGCCUCCACCCGGGGGCAAGAAAGUGCACGCCCUGAUCGCAAAUCUUUCCCUACCUCACACACCUGUGCACGACCUGCAGCUUGGGAUGCUAACCGGGGGGGGGAAGAGGGUUUUUCCUCUUCUCUGACUCCGGAUGCCCUCGCUGUGAAUUUUUUUACACACACAUUCAAAUGUAUUGAACAUAAGAUGCCUUAGCGUGUAAAAAGCGCGAAAUAAUACAACUUUCAGCAACGGAUCUCUUGGCUCUCGCAUCGAUGAAGAACGCAGC